rnacentral:tRNA from 1 species
GGACCCUUAGCUCAGAAGGUUAGAGCGGCGGCCUUAUAAGCCGUGUGUCGUUGGUUCGAGUCCAAUAGGGUCUA